rnacentral:rRNA from 1 species
UUCCAGACUCCUACGGGAGGCAGCAGUGGGGGAUAUUGGACAAUGGGGGAAACCCUGAUCCAGCGAUGCCGCGUGAGGGAAGAAGGUUUUCGGAUUGUAAACCUCUGUGGACAGGGACGAUAAUGACGGUACCUGUCAAGAAAGCCACGGCUAACUACGUGCCAGCAGCCGCGGUAAUACGUAGGGGGCAAGCGUUAUCCGGAUUUACUGGGUGUAAAGGGAGCGUAGACGGCCAUGCAAGUCUGAUGUGAAAACCCGGGGCUCAACCCCGGGACUGCAUUGGAAACUGUGCGGCUGGAGUGUCGGAGAGGCAAGUGGAAUUCCUAGUGUAGCGGUGAAAUGCGUAGAUAUUAGGAGGAACACCAGUGGCGAAGGCGGCUUGCUGGACGACGACUGACGUUGAGGCUCGAAAGCGUGGGGAGCAAACAGGAUUAGAUACCCUAGUA